CUUAUUGCUGUCGCGACUGUGCGACGGGCGCCCGCAGUGAGUGUGCGAGCGCGACAGCAACAUAAUUACGUGCGAGCGACAAGGAUGGGCAGCUUGGGGUCAUUGGUCGGGAUUCUACGUGCUCACGGACCAGGCUUUAGGUGAUGACUUGGAUGGCUUGGAAACGUGGCCUCUCACUAAAGACCUUAUACAGAAGCUCAAAGUUGCACAGCAUGCUAGAGAGGGCUAUGCUCGGUGUUUCCUUACGAGAUCGAAUCAGAAAUGAGGAGAUCCGUAAACGAACUAAAGUCGCUGACAUAGCCCGACGGAUUAGCAAGCUGAAGUGGCAAUGGGCCGGGCACAUAGUACGCAGAACUGACAGCAAUGACCGAUGGGGCAGCAAGGUUCUGGAAUGUAGGCCGCGUACCGGAAAACGCAGCGAAGGAUGUCCACCCACAAGGUAGACCGACAACAUCAUAAAGGUAGCAGGGAAGCGCUGGACGCAGGCCGCUACCAAUAAAUCUACGUGGAAAGCAUUGGGUUGGGAGAGGCCUAUGUUCAGCAGUGGGCGUCCUAUGGCUGAAAUGAUGAUGAUGAUGAUGAACUAAAUAGGUACGAGUAACUUUUCACGUUAUUCACUGGAUCAGUGUCAAAGUUAUCUUCCAGUAGUGGAUUUACCAACAGACUGUAUGUGAAAGCUGGCUUCUAGGGCGGCACAGAUUUUUCCGGCUAAUUCGCCAACUUUUUUGGGCAAAGGAGUGUAAAUCCAUACUGUAACAUAUUAACCUAAUAAUUAGGUAGCUAAUUGCUCAUAAGAUGACUUACUUUGACUUAUGGUCCUAUGUACCCUAGAUGGGGCAGAGGGCGUCCACAACAGUCCUCCAUCGCGUUUGGUCUUGAGCUAUGUGUUUCAUCUCGCUCCAAGUCUUGCCGAUCUUCUUCGCCUCGUCUGCCACAGUGUUUUUUUUUUCUGCCAAGUUUGCUUGGGGCGACCACGUUUGAGCUCAUAAGAUAGGCCCCCUUAAUUGAUAUUUAUUGUCCGUGGUGCAUAUCUUUUCUUAAGGUUAUUAAACCUUUGUUCGUCACCUGUUAUCCGCUUUGCAAUGGAGGGAAGUUGAACCUUAUUUCGAACUCCUCCUAUGUUUUUCUGAUUAAUUUCCUUGCUAGUCCAAUGACAGUUUAUCUUUCCCCCGGGACCAACUUUUUUUUUUAAGAUAAGAUAAUACUUUAUUGCCUUAAUACUGUUUUUUUUAGUUUAGUAAUAAUCAAUACAUACAGUAUGUACAUUUAUUUAUAAUUAAAUAAAAAAAAAACAUCACCUACUUGAAAAAAUUAUAGAUAAUAUUAUGAGUAUGUUGAUUAACUAAAAUAUAUCAAAGAUUUUAUUUUAUUUUUUAAUUAAGAGGCUCAAAACUUAUACCGCGGGAUUAGUGUCCACAUAAAUACUUUUAUUAUUUUUCUUUUGUCAUCUCAUACCGCUUGAAAAAAAAGAUAAAAUACAUUGUAUUAUUUGAAAUAUUUGUACAUUCAUGAACAAGUGUCUGGGGAAAAAAUUAUACGCCGGCGCUUGGUUAUACUGAUUUAAUAAAAAAUCACAGUCGUUUGAUUUAUAGUAUAUUUAUAGUGGAUUUAUAGUAGAUUCUAAUGAGUCAUUAUUUGAUUUGUGUCCUUUUGUGAAAAACAUUUUUCAAAUAUAUUAUUGUAUCAGCAGAA